rnacentral:rRNA from 1 species
ACCGAUGGAGGGACGCAGCAGGCUAAGAUAUGCCCACUGAUGGAUGUGGGUGCAAAUAAUAAGUCUGGCGAUGAGUCAAAUGCUUAUCGCUAAGGACAAGUUAUGACGCGGAGGGAAGUACAGUACCGAAGUAUCUGACGUCACACUGCCAAGAAAAGCUUCUAGAGAGAAAGCAACUGCCCGUACCGCAAACCGACACAGGUAGUCGAGAUGAGAAUUCUAAGGUGAGCGAGCGAACUCUCGUUAAGGAACUCGGCAAAAUGACCCCGUAACUUAGGGAGAAGGGGUGCUAACGCAAGU